GCGUGUUGAAACGGUAGUGCAACGGCUCAACACGCGCUCCCGGAAUGAGUGAGAUCUGGGUUUGAAUCUCGGCCGACGCA